CACGUGCGUCCGGCCUCCGCAGGGCCCUGGGCGGCGGCGCGGGAUGGGGCGGCGGUCAGCCUGUCACCGCUUGGUGGCCUCGUGCGCGCACAGCUGGGGCCUGGGGAGCACGGGGUUAAAGGUUGGUGGGUGAGCAGCUGAUAUCUCAGGUUCUGAUGCCUACCUCGGCACCUUUCUCAUGGCCCAGCACACCAUACACAUUAAAAAUGUUCAUGGAAUGAACAUGCAUCAAGUGGAGGGGAAUUUGGAUACAGACAUAUGGAGACAGGGGGAUUCUAUGUGAAGACAUAGAGACAGACAGACACAGAAGGAAGGUGGCCAUGUGGAAAUGGAGACUGAGAGUAGCACUGUGCAGCAGCAAGCCAGAAAGCACCAAGCAUUUCCACAUGCCACCAGAAGUCAGAAGAACGUCGUGGAAUAGACUCUGCCUCUGAGCCACCGAGAAGGAACCCACCCUGCCGAUACCUUGAUUUUGGACGUCUGGCUUCCAGAACUGUGAGCAAAUACAUUUCUGUUGUUUAAGGUACUGAGUUUGUGGUGACUUAUUACUGGCAGACAAAUAUAGCACUUCUUAGUCAAGCCAAGGACCAGGCUGGCUUGCAGUAUGUAGUUCCUCCUUUCAUCUCCUUUAGCCAUGGAGUUGAAUUAGUGGGUGGGUUCUAAAUUAAUAG